GUGCCAUUACCGGACGUAUUGAAAAACAGAUGAAAAGCAAACUUGCAAGAAAGAAAAGAAUGAAUAUUUUGAAAUACAAGAGAUCACACAACACUGAUACUUUGAAAAAAACAAACGAUACAGAUGAUUUCGUUUGUUUUGUGGCCACGGAUUCAGAGUCCGACGAAGAUGAAAAUCAUGUAAAUCACAAUCAAAGUAAUGUUCGUAGGGUUCAUCGAAAAAGAAAAAACACUCACUCAGAUAUAUUACUUGAUGAAGGAAUAUUUGCUCCCAUAGGUCUCACUGAUAAUGGUAAUUAUGGUUCUCUUUUUGUAAAUUCAUCAUCUAUAUUAUAUUAAAAUAUUAAUUAAAUUUUAUCAGGUUAUUAUGACGAUGGCGAUCCGUCCUACAUGUGUGAUUAUUGCCAAGCUUAUAUGUGGUUUGGCGAAAGAAUAAAUAAAAGAUUUAUAAGUGCCAAACCAUUAUUUACCUUGUGUUGCCAUAAAGGAAAAGUCAAGCUACCUCUUCUUAGAGCACCACCUACUUCAUUGUUGAAACUUCUUUACAAUAAGGGUGAAAUGAGGAAUCACUUUAGAGAAUUCAUUAGAGCGUACAAUAUGAUGUUUUCCUUUACUUCACUUGGUGGUAAAGUCAAUAAUUCCAUCAAUAAUGGUGCUGGACCUUAUUUAUUUCAA